rfam:Triticum urartu cultivar G1812 contig1079739, whole genome shotgun sequence.
UAUGUACUCCCUCCGUUCCGAAUUACUUGUCUUAGAUUUGUCUAGAUACGGAGAUAUCUAGCACUAAAAUGAGUCUAGAUCCGUAUCUAGACAAAUUCAAGACAAGCAAUUCGGAACGGAGGGAAUAGUUC